UUUGAUGUCAUAGGUCGAUCGGUCUGCGCAGCGCCGCGUGACAUCAAACACACCUAAAGAUUUCGUGAAAGUUUCACCGUGUUUUGAAAGCGCCCACCACUACUGCAUCGUAUCCAAUCCAUCAGACACGGACUCCGGCGUAGAUCAAACCAACAGACGACUGUCAUCAGUUUGAGAUCUCUGUGGCUUCUUGUUUUCCUCCUGGAUGCCACAUGACAGUCUGAUGUCAGAGACGCCUCUCCAGACCGACUUUCCAUCACAGAAGGAUCAGGAAGAUUUCCUACCUCCUCAAGGACGUCAGCAAGCUUACUCAGUAUUUCCUCUGGAAGACUUCGGAAUGUCGGGACGCUGCAA